rnacentral:snRNA from 1 species
GUGCUCGCUUCGGCAGCACAUAUACUAAAAUUGGAAC